ensembl:lncRNA
AAGGUUUGGUGUUUUUAAAUUGUAUUUGUUUGACUUCAACAUACUUGCUCUAAUGGGACAGAAACUACGUCCUCUUCUGUUUUUUGGAAGUUUUUUUUUUUAAAUUUAAAUACAAAAAUAAGGUAUUCAGUUCUAUAGUGUUCUGAUAGUGUUUCAUGAAUGCCAUUCCUUGCAAUGCAAACUUGGUUAACACUGAAGAUGCUAUCACUGCUUUAAUUAUUCUUUUGCAGUUGUUUGUCUGAUACUCAUUAUAAGACGAUUAGCAUUCCAUUUCUUAGAGUUAAAAAAGUGUGAUGCACUAAAUCUUUCUAUUGAAGGCACUCUUUGAACCUAUGGAGUAUUAAAUUAACUGAAUGUUAAACUAGUUAAUUAGUAACUAGAGGAAUUGCAGUGUUGCAAGAUAUUUUCCAUCUUUAUCAGAAUCCUUACAGUGCCAGCAGGUGUGCCAUAAGUGGUUUCCUAUAGUACAGAAUUCUCUGCAUUUUUGUGUAAAAUCUUUGAUUAAAUUUUCCCUGCAAACCUGGACAUUGGACAUUGUGACAACUUGUGGUUUGUUUCUUUGCCCAGCUCACUGAUGAGAUAUUCAUCUAUAAGCACUGCAAAUUGACCCCUCUUUGCUGGCUACCAGCAGGGUCUUAGCUGCUGGUUGCUGCCCUUCAAGCCUGGGGAUUUGGGCAGUUUCCAGCCCUCCUCAUUCUAUUCAGCCAGGCUGUAUUUCCCUUAGAAGGGCAUAAAGGGUACUUACCCGCUCAGCAGAUUUAAUUGCUACAGAUUUUGAUGUGUGAUGAAAAUCAGUGCCAAUUAUUUGACAUUUUAGAAACUGAAGUACAACUUUCAAUAUAAAGACAUCUCCCUUGAUUUUUCUCAUGUUUUCUUUAAAUACUUAUUUCUGUGUAAAAUAAACAGCCCUUAUGCUUCAGUUCUGCAAUAGUGAAAUGUACUGUCAAUUAGUACUUUAAAGUGUACUUCAUUUUGUUCCUUGUUCUGGUACUGUGGAUAUGAUACGGCAACAAUAGCUAUGUCCAUCAAAAGCUGUGUCAUCCUAUAAAGACUUCAAUAACUACAUUCCUAUGUUAGAUGCAUAUUAACAAGAUAGCAGAUUUUCUUGCAUAUUAGAAACUGUUACCUUGCUGAAAAUAAAAUUUGAAUAUGAGUUGAUU